rnacentral:rRNA from 1 species
AGGACGAACGCUGGCGGCGUGCCUAACACAUGCAAGUCGAACGGGACCAGGGGCAACUCUGGUUCAGUGGCGGACGGGUGCGUAACACGUGAGGAACAUGACCUUCGGCGGGGGAUAGCCGGCCCAACGGCCGGGUAAUACCGCGUACGACCACUUGGGGACAUCCCUAGGUGGUGAAAGCAGCAAUGCGCCGAUGGAGUGCCUCGCGGCCUAUCAGCUAGUUGGUGAGGUAACGGCUCACCAAGGCGACGACGGGUAGC